rnacentral:lncRNA from 1 species
GUCUAUCCCUUUGUCAAGCAUAUUUAGAAACACCAGUGAGAACACAUUAGAUUUCAGUAUUGAUUUCUAUCCUGAUUCUGCUGCAAACAAGUUUACUGUCACUUCAGAUGGCAUCUCCAGUGGCAAGUGUGAUUAAGGAAUGUCAGAGUAGCCACAGAGCAGCUAGCUGUAAACAUGGUGACUUGAGAAGGUAUAUAGUUUUUGCCUAGAUCCACAGUGGAGCAGUAUACACAUGCUGGGGAAUUCGCAGAUCCAUCCAUUCCUCUAUACAACUAAUGCCAACAUGGUCCGUGCAGUCUUUUGUUUUCUGUUUUAUUUUGUAGGUAAUUUUGACAUGAUUUAAUCUUCCUUUAAAUCAAAGAUCUGCCAGUCCUAUGGGGGUAGUUACAGCCUAUGGCGACAGGAAAUGGAACACACAUAGAAGCUCAGGUGUUUCUCUAGUGGCAGCUGCCAGCCAAAAAACGUUGAUUUUGUUUUGCUUUCUGGUAGUGUCUUGUGGUCCAUGGCAGAGUUCUUGAGGCAGUUUCAUGAUCCUUUAGGGCAACCCAUAAAAUUAACUGAAAAUUGGACAAACCAAAGAUUAACAGGUACCUUACUUUAAAAUUCAUGGAAAUUGUUUUUAUGGUAGUCAUAUAAUUUUCUUAAAAUUUAUGUAAUUUCUUACAAAAUGUCCUAAGGAUAGCAUGUUGGAACCUUUAAGUUCUUUUGACUAGCGGGGUGAAUCUUGCCCCGUGAGGCUUUGCUGGGCCUGUGAUUCUCCCACACUGGCUCUGGCCAUGUGCUGGCAACCUCUUACAAACUGAGCUUCCCCUCUCCCUGGCCCUGUGCGACCACCUACUGUGUAGAUGCGAAGACAAUUGUUUCUGUAUUUCCAUCCAGUUUUAUGUUUAUAUUUAUGGCAGGAAAGCUUCUGAGAAAUCUGUACCUCGAAUAAUAGAUGAUGAUAGCAUGGAGGUAAGACCUCCUAGUACAAUGAAUUUCUCCACAUACAAAAUUGAGCAGGUAUUUUUUUAUUUUAAAUUAAAUUGAUGUAUUUAUUUUACAUCCCUAUGGAAGUUCCCCUCCCCCACUCCUUCCCUCCCCUCCCCCCACCUCUCCCCUGCCUCCUUAAUCCAGG